rnacentral:rRNA from 1 species
AGAGUUUGAUCCAUGGCUCAGGACGAACGCUGGCGGCGUGCUUAACACAUGCAAGUCGAACGGAAAGGCCCUUCGGGGUACUCGAGUGGCGAACGGGUGAGUAACACGUGGGUGAUCUGCCCUGCACUUUGGGAUAAGCCUGGGAAACUGGGUCUAAUACCGAAUAGGACCACGGUCUGCAUGGAUUGUGGUGGAAAGCUUUUGCGGUGUGGGAUGGGCCCGCGGCCUAUCAGCUUGUUGGUGAGGUUACGGCUCACCAAGGCGACGACGGGUAGCCGGCCUGAGAGGGUGUCCGGCCACACUGGGACUGAGAUACGGCCCAGACUCCUACGGGAGGCAGCAGUGGGGAAUAUUGCACAAUGGGCGCAAGCCUGAUGCAGCGACGCCGCGUGAGGGAUGACGGCCUUCGGGUUGUAAACCUCUUUCGCCAGGGACGAAGCGCAAGAGACG